AUGGAAGAAAGAAAAGAAAAACCAAAUCGAAACAAAAUGAUGGCAGAGGCUUCUUGGAAUCGAGGCUUUUUGGGUUAUAAAUCUGAUAUAUUUUCUCAUGAUAGCAGAAAGGAACAAACUAUUUCCCAUCUGAAACCUGUUAUUUGUACAGAAGAUAAUACAAAAUAUCUGGAUGGUAAGUAUGCACCUAUGCGCGUUGCCACAUCAGUUCGUUGUUGUAAAGAUGAUCAAAAGGUCAGAUUCCCUCAAAGAGGGGGACCUCAUACCCACAGAAUGCUAAAUUUCAUUUGUGAACAGCAGAAUCCAUGCUACAGUUGGACUGCUAGUAAUAUGAGCAUUAAUGAGGUGCUAAGACUCCUGCCAAGGCACCAACGGAAGACGCGCUGGCAUCUUCGACAAGACGAUGAAGCAGCCAUUACCAUCCAGUCUGCCUGGAGAGGGUGGCAAGUCAGAAAGGAAAUGGACAAAAUGGAUAGAGCUGCCACCCAAAUUCAGGCGGCUUUCCGAAGGUAUAUGGCACGGAAGGAACUGCCUCUGGGACUGUGCUGCUAUGGCAGGAAGGACUGGCCAAUACUAAAGAAAAAAAGAGUGGAAAACAAGAGCCCAUCUUGCCCGCUGCUAAAAUGUGUUCAGCAGUUGGGUUUUGCAUCUGGAACACAAACUGAAAGCCAGAGCAUCUUCCUUCCAAAGAACAGACAACCCAUCUGUCCAAGAAACAUCUCAGAAGGCUACCCUCUUUUGCAUCCCAAUGUGUCCUUCUUUGGGAUGAAGUCAGCCAUCAGUUCCAACAGAAAAGUGUUGACAUACGCUUCUUUAAAUGUCUUUGCUCCUAGGAUACAGAAUCAAAAAUAUCAGGAGGCUGCAACCACUAUCCAAGCAGCAUGGAGAGGGUACCAAAUAAGGCAGAAAGGAAGACCAAUGAUACAAGCUGAUACAUCCCUGAAGUCUUCCCCUUCUAACAUUAUCAUCGACAAAACCUCGUGGAGACAUCCACGUUCAGGGUGUACUGUUGAGGAGCAUGGAAUCCAGCAGACCUUUGCGAAGUCUACCUUAACAAAGCUACCACAGAUCCGAAAUAUCAAUAUAUAUACAGUGGUGAAGGGCAUGCCAGCUUCUUCUCAACGGCCAGACAUAUCCAUACAGGUACAGAGCCCCAAAGCUAUGGUCCAAGGAUUUCAGAGGGACGUGAGUAGAGGGGUGAAGGCCCUCUACACAGUUAAAAAUAGAGCUGCUUCGAGACCCUCUCAGAUCCUUAUUCAUGUGAAUACGCUGAAGGGGAAGGACCCACCUGCAAAAACAGAAAAGAAGAUGCAAAAACAUGAACGAUAA
rnacentral:lncRNA from 1 species